rnacentral:rRNA from 1 species
UGCAGUCGAGGGGUAAUAUUGUAGCAAUACGAUAUGAGACCGGCGCACGGGUGCGUAACACGUAUGCAACCUACCUUUUACUGGGGUAUAGCUCCGAGAAAUCGGAAUUAAUCCCCCAUAACACUGCGAUGAGGCAUCUUGAUGCAGUUAAAGCUCCGGCGGUAAAAGAUGGGCAUGCGGUACAUUAGCUAGUUGGUGAGGUAAUGGCUCACCAAGGCUACGAUGUAUAGGGGGUCUGAGAGGAUGAUCCCCCACACUGGUACUGAGACACGGACCAGACUCCUACGGGAGGCAGCAGUAGGGAAUAUUGGUCAAUGGACGCAAGUCUGAACCAGCCAUGCCGCGUGCAGGAUGACAGCCCUAUGGGUCGUAAACUGCUUUUAUAAGGGAAGAAACCCCUGGAUGCGUCCGGGGCUGACGGUACUUUAUGAAUAAGGAUCGGCUAACUUCGUGCCAGCAGCCGCGGUAAGACGAAGGAUCCAAGCGUUGUCCGGAUUUACUGGGUUUAAAGGGUGCGUAGGCGGAGUGCUAAGUCAGUGGUGAAAGCCCGCAGCUCAACUGCGGAACUGCCAUUGAAACUGGCACUCUUGAAUACGGUGGANGUAGAUGGAAUAUAACAUGUAGCGGUGAAAUGCUUAGAUAUGUUAUAGAACACCGAUUGCGAAGGCAGUCUGCUACACCGUGAUUGACGCUGANGCACGAAAGCGUGGGGAGCAAACAGGAUUAGAUACCCUGGUAGUCCACGCCCUAAACGUUGAUUACUCGCUGUUGGCGAUACACUGUCAGCGGCUAAGCGAAAGCGUUAAGUAAUCCACCUGGGAAGUACGUCCGCAAGGAUGAAACUCAAAGGAANUNGACGGGGGCCCGCACAANCGGNNGANCAUGNNNNUNANUUCGA